UACGUAGGUCCCGAGCGUUGUCCGGAUUUAUUGGGCGUAAAGCGAGCGCAGGUGGUUUAUUAAGUCUGGUGUAAAAGGCAGUGGCUCAACCAUUGUAUGCAUUGGAAACUGGUAGACUUGAGUGCAGGAGAGGAGAGUGGAAUUCCAUGUGUAGCGGUGAAAUGCGUAGAUAUUAGGAGGAACACCAGUGGCGAAGGCGGCCUGCUGGACGAUGACUGACGUUGAGGCUCGAAAGCGUGGGGAGCAAACAGG
rnacentral:rRNA from 1 species